rnacentral:rRNA from 1 species
CAUGCAAGUCGAGCGAGAAGCUAACUUCGGUUAGUGGACAGCGGCGCACGGGUGAGUAACGCGUGGGAAUUUACCUUUCGGCGGGGGACAACAGUUGGAAACGACUGCUAAUACCGCAUACGCCCUACGGGGGAAAGAUUUAUCACCGAAAGAUAGGCCCGCGUUAGAUUAGGUAGUUGGUAGGGUCAAAGCCUACCAAGCCGACGAUCUAUAGCUGGUUUGAGAGAACGAUCAGCCACACUGGAACUGAGACACGGUCCAGACUCCUACGGGAGGCAGCAGUGGGGAAUCUUGCACAAUGGGCGAAAGCCUGAUGCAGCCAUGCCGCGUGAGUGAGAAGGCCUUCGGGUUGUAAAACUCUUUUAGAUGUGAAGAUGAUGGCGGUAACAUCAGAAAAAGCACCGGCUAACUUCGUGCCAGCAGCCGCGGUAAUACGAAGGGUGCUAGCGUUGUUCGGAAUUACUGGGCGUAAAGAGCGUGUAGGCGGCUUAGCAAGUUAGAGGUGAAAUCCCAGGGCUCAACCCUGGAACUGCCUUUGAUACUGCUAGGCUUGAGAUCGUGAGGGGAUAGCGGAAUACCCAGUGUAGAGGUGAAAUUCGU